rnacentral:rRNA from 1 species
UACCAGCUCUCCGAGUGGUAGGGACGAUUAUUGGGCUUAAAGCGUCCGUAGCUGGCUUAGCAAGUCUCCUGUUAAAUUCAGCGACCUAAUCGUUGAGCCGCGGGAGAUACUACUAGGCUAGGAGGCGGGAGAGGUAGACGGUACUUUCGGGGUAGGGGUGAAAUCCUAUAAUCCCGGGAGGACCACCAGUGGCGAAGGCUGUUGACUAGAACGCGCUCGACGGUGAGGGACGAAAGCUGGGGUAGCGAACCGGAUUAGAUACCCGGGUAGUCCCAGCUGUAAACUAUGCGGGCUAGAUGUGGGGGUGGCUACGGGCCACUUCAGUGCCGCAGGAAAGCCAUUAAGCCCGCCGCCUGGGGAGUACGGCCGCAAGGCUGAAACUUAAAGGAAUUGGCGGGGGAGCACCACAAGGCGUGAAGCUUGCGGUUC